rnacentral:rRNA from 1 species
GAGUGGCGGACGGGUGAGUAAUGUCUGGGAAACUGCCUGAUGGAGGGGGAUAACUACUGGAAACGGUAGCUAAUACCGCAUAAUGUCGCAAGACCAAAGAGGGGGACCUUCGGGCCUCUUGCCAUCGGAUGUGCCCAGAUGGGAUUAGCUUGUUGGUGGGGUAACGGCUCACCAAGGCGACGAUCCCUAGCUGGUCUGAGAGGAUGACCAGCCACACUGG